rnacentral:rRNA from 1 species
AGUAAUAUAUCGGAACGUACCCAAGAGUGGGGGAUAACGUAGCGAAAGUUACGCUAAUACCGCAUACGAUCUAAGGAUGAAAGUGGGGGACCGGCAAGGCCUCACGCUCCUGGAGCGGCCGAUAUCUGAUUAGCUAGUUGGUGAGGUAAAGGCUCACCAAGGCGACGAUCAGUAGCUGGUCUGAGAGGACGACCAGCCACACUGGGACUGAGACACGGCCCAG